rnacentral:rRNA from 1 species
AUUGAACGCUGGCGGCAGGCCUAACACAUGCAAGUCGAGCGAGCGGCGGACGGGUGAGUAAUGUCUGGGAAACUGCCAGAUGGAGGGGGAUAACUACUGGAGACGGUAGCUAAUACCGCAUACCAUCAGAUGUGCCCAGAUGGGAUUAGCUAGUAGGUGGGGUAACGGCCCACCAAGGAGACGAUCCCUAGCAGGUCUGAGAGGACGACCAGUCACACUGGAAAUGAGACACGGUCCAGACUCCUACGGGAGGGAGCAGUGGGGAAUAUUGGACAAUGGGCGAAAGCCUGAUGCAGCCAUGCCGCGUGUGUGAAGAAGGCCGUCGGAUUGUAAAGCACUUUAAGCUGGGAGGCGUUACCAGCAGAAGAAGCACCGGCUAACUUCGUGCCAGCAGCCGCGGUAAUUC